CGUAGGAGGCGAGCGUUAUCCGGAUUCACUGGGCGUAAAGCGCGUGCAGGUGGUUUGGUAAGUUGGGCGUGAAAUCUCCCGGCUCAACUGGGAGAGGUCGUUCAAUACUACCAAACUUGAGAGCAGAAGAGGAAGAUGGAAUUCCCGGUGUAGUGGUGAAAUGCGUAGAUAUCGGGAGGAACACCAGUGGCGAAGGCGAUCUUCUGGUCUGUUUCUGACACUCAGACGCGACAGCUAGGGUAGUAAACGGGAUUAGAGACCCCGGUAAUCCUAGCCGUAAACGAUGUGAACUUGGCGUUGGUGGGUUAAACUCCAUCAGUGCCGAAGCAAACGCGAUAAGUUCACCGCCUGGGGACUACGGCCGCAAGGUUA
rnacentral:rRNA from 1 species